AAUCAGUAGAGCUCAAUCAGUAACAAGGUAGCCGUGAGACUUUGAAUUAUCGGCGGACGGGUGAGUAAUGCUUAGGAAUCUGCCUAUUAGUGGGGGACAACAUCUCGAAAGGGAUGCUAAUACCGCAUACGUCCUACGGGAGAAAGCAGGGGAUCUUCGGACCUUGCGCUAAUAGAUGAGCCUAAGUCGGAUUAGCUAGUUGGUGGGGUAAAGGCCUACCAAGGCGACGAUCUGUAGCGGGUCUGAGAGGAUGAUCCGCCACACUGGGACUGAGACACGGCCCAGACUCCUACGGGAGGCAGCAGUGGGGAAUAUUGGACAAUGGGCGCAAGCCUGAUCCAGCCAUGCCGCGUGUGUGAAGAAGGCCUUAUGGUUGUAAAGCACUUUAAGCGAGGAGGAGGCUACUUUAGAUAAUACCUAGAGAUAGUGGACGUUACUCGCAAAAUAAGCACCGGCUAACUCUGUGCCAGCAGCCGCGGUAAUACAGAGGGUGCAAGCGUUAAUCGGAUUUACUGGGCGUAAAGCGCGCGUAGGCGGCUAAUUAAGUCAAAUGUGAAAUCCCCGAGCUUAACUUGGGAAUUGCAUUCGAUACUGGUUAGCUAGAGUGUGGGAGAGGAUGGUAGAAUUCCAGGUGUAGCGGUGAAAUGCGUAGAGAUCUGGAGGAAUACCGAUGGCGAAGGCAGCCAUCUGGCCUAACACUGACGCUGAGGUGCGAAAGCAUGGGGAGCAAACAGGAUUAGAUACCCUGGUAGUCCAUGCCGUAAACGAUGUCUACUAGCCGUUGGGGCCUUUGAGGCUUUAGUGGCGCAGCUAACGCGAUAAUUAGACCGCCUGGGGAGUACGGUCGCAAGACUAAAACUCAAUGAAUUGACAGGGGCCCGCACACCCGCGGAGCAUGGGGUUUAUUUCUAUGUAUCGCGAGAACUUACAUGGUCUUGAGUAUUAAGAACUUUCUGAAAUGGAAUGGUGCUUCGGGACUUACAUAAAGAGCUGAGGUCGGUCGUCGGCUCUGUCGGAGAGUCGUGGUAAGUCCGCACAACCCACCCUUUUCCUAUUUUCACUGUAUGUCGGGAGUUAGGGAUAGAGCUUUGAGAAUGAGCAAGGCAGGAAGAAGUAAGGUACUAGCCUUCGUCAGGCGCCACGCGCUACACGGACGUACAAGAUGUGCACCCGCGUAGU
rnacentral:rRNA from 2 species